GAUGAACGCUGGCGGCGUGCCUAAUACAUGCAAGUAGAACGCUGAAGGAAGGAGCUUGCUCUUUCCGGAUGAGUUGCGAACGGGUGAGUAACGCGUAGGUAACCUGCCUGGUAGCGGGGGAUAACUAUUGGAAACGAUAGCUAAUACCGCAUAACAGUAGAUAUUGCAUGAUAUCUGCUUGAAAGGUGCAAUUGCAUCACUACCAGAUAGACCUGCGUUGUAUUAGCUAGUUGGUGAGGUAACGGCUCACCAAGGCGACGAUACAUAGCCGACCUGAGAGGGUGAUCGGCCACACUGGGACUGAGACACGGCCCAGACUCCUACGGGAGGCAGCAGUAUAGGAAUCUUCGGCAAUGGACGGAAGUCUGACCGAGCAACGCCGCGUGAGUGAAGAAGGUUUUCGGAUCGUAAAGCUCUGUUGUAAGAGAAGAACGAGUGUGAGAGUGGAAAGUUCACAC
rnacentral:rRNA from 1 species